rnacentral:sRNA from 1 species
UGAGUUGGUGGCUAGGGUUCCGGCGCUCCAUUGGGAGCGUGACUGGUCCGAGAGCUGCCACCGGUCGGGAGAGAAAUCCCACCGGAUGCACGGCGGGACAAAAGCCCGGGAGAC